GGGGGUUAUCUCCCUCCCUGGCUCCUCUCUUCUCUCUCUGCCUCCUGUCCAAUCAUGUGAGCCACUUACUCCUCCAGAUACUUCCACCAUGCUGAUUAUGCCUGGAGUAGGCUGACUGUGCAAGGACUGAAACUUCUGAAAUAUUCCUUCUGUGGGCUUUAUGUGGGAGCCAAAGCACCCCCUUAUGGAACUGCUAGCAUAUGUACCACAAUCAUGUGAAGGGUCGGAGAUGGAGUUUCAGUAUGGGUGCCUGGACACAAGGGCAGGACUUCCAGAAAUGUGGAAACACAGAGAAGAAGCCAUUUGAAAGGAGAUCCUGCACAAGGAGGAAGGGUGAGGUAGGAGGAAAGGGCCAAGAGCCAAGGACCUAGAAAAUAACCCAAAACAUCCUCCGCAGGCUGCAGGCACUGGUCAUCAACUGCCAAAUGUACCUGGGGUCAACCUGGAAGUUCAAGGUGAUCACGGUAUGCAAACCAUCAAGGCUUCAACGUCCCACAAGGGUCAUCACUGGCUGGCAGUCUCUGAGGGGAUGGAGCUAAGGAUAUGGAGCAGAAGUUCAGUGCUAAUGAAAAAGGAAAGAUUUGCCAGGAGCCGAUUUGACCGGAAUGAUAUGGCAAGAGAAAAAAAUGCCACCAAGUUUUAACAGGGACAUGACAUAAGGUCAAGAUUUUGAACACCAUUUUGAGAACCACUGUGGCUUCAUUAUUGAGUCCCAUGAACUCUCUCACAAGCUCAGGGCUGGGUGGAUAAGGACUGGAGGGAAAAAUCUGCUUUUCCAGGAAUGGACCAAUAUGGAUUAUCUGGUGUUACAUAAAACUAGUAAUUCUACAGUUUAAUAAAAACACAAGUCGGCAGAUAAGAAAAACGUGUAUCCUCUUAUGCUUAAGCCGUUUCUAUGCUUAAGCAAGCUAUUUCUAAGGGCCUAGAACUUUCAGCUGAGAUUAAGGAAAUGAACACAUUAUAAAUCUGCAGGCAUUUAAGUCUCUUUGACACAAGACAAUGAACUCAUGAAAGAAGUUUUCAAUCAGACAACCCAUAAUACUUGAUGUAGAAAAUGUUCCAGCUUCCAUACUUCUUUAUUAAAUACUUGACAAGCUGCAUCACUUCUUUACAAUGACUUCAUUAUGUCACAUUACUUUUUUGCUGUCAGAAAAACAAACUACAAAUUUUCUUUAGAUCUCUCAAGAAGAAAGAAAAGCAAAAAAAGACUUGUUCUUAAACAAAACUUUUCCUGUGUGUAUCAAAUUCAAC
ensembl:lncRNA